rnacentral:tRNA from 1 species
UGUGGGGUAGUUGAACUGGUACAACACCCGGCUGUUAACCGGAAGGUUGGGGGUUCGAGUCCCUCCCCCACAGCCA